rnacentral:rRNA from 1 species
ACGCUCGACACCUACGGGAGUCAGCAGUGGGGAAUAUUGCACAAUGGGGGAAACCCUGAUGCAGCGACGCCGCGUGAGCGAAGAAGUAUUUCGGUAUGUAAAGCUCUAUCAGCAGGGAAGAAAAUGACGGUACCUGACUAAGAAGCCCCGGCUAACUACGUGCCCGCAGCCGCGGUAAUCUGAGCGGGCUGGCAAGGC